GAAAUGCGAUAAGUAAUGUGAAUUGCAGAAUUCAGUGAAUCAUCGAAUCUUUGAACGCACCUUGCGCCCUUUGGUAUUCCGAGGGGCAUGCCUGUUUGAGUGUCAUUAAAUACCAUCAACCCUCUUUUGACUUCGGUCUCGAGAGUGGCUUGGAAGUGGAGGUCUGCUGGAGCCUAACGGAGCCAGCUCCUCUUAAAUGUAUUAGCGGAUUUCCCUUGCGGGAUCGCGUCUCCGAUGUGAUAAUUUCUACGUCGUUGACCAUCUCGGGGCUGACCUAGUCAGUUUCAAUAGGAGUCUGCUUCUAACCGUCUCAUGACUGAGACUAGCGACUUGUGCGCUAACUUUUGACUUGACCUCAAAUCAGGUAGGACUACCCGCUGAACUUAAGC
rnacentral:misc_RNA from 1 species